GAUGAACGCUAGCUACAGGCUUAACACAUGCAAGUCGAGGGGCAGCAUGACGAUAGCUUGCUAUUGUUGAUGGCGACCGGCGCACGGGUGAGUAACGCGUAUCCAACCUUCCCAUAGCUAGGGAAUAACCUUGCGAAAGUAAGACUAAUGCCCUAUAACAUUCUUUGCAGACAUCUAAAGAGAAUUAAAGAUUUAUCGGCUAUGGAUGGGGAUGCGUCUGAUUAGGUUGUUGGCGGGGUAACGGCCCACCAAGCCCACGAUCAGUAGGGGUUCUGAGAGGAAGGUCCCCCACAUUGGAACUGAGACACGGUCCAAACUCCUACGGGAGGCAGCAGUGAGGAAUAUUGGUCAAUGGACGCAAGUCUGAACCAGCCAAGUAGCGUGCAGGAUGACGGCCCUAUGGGUUGUAAACUGCUUUUAUGCGGGGAUAAAGUGAGGGACGUGUCCCUUUUUGAGGUACCGCAUGAAUAAGGACCGGCUAAUUCCGUGCCAGCAGCCGACGG
rnacentral:rRNA from 1 species